rnacentral:rRNA from 1 species
GAUUAAUACCCGAUGGCAUGUAUUCCGGCAUCGGGAGAUACAUUUAAAGAUUUAUCGGUAACGGAUGAGGAUGCGUACGAUUAGCUAGUUGGCGGGGUAACGGCCCACCAAGGCGACGAUCGUUAGGGGUUCUGAGAGGAAGGUCCCCCACACUGGAACUGAGACACGGUCCAGACUCCUACGGGAGGCAGCAGUGAGGAAUAUUGGUCAAAUGGUCGGAAGACUGAACCAGCCAAGUAGCGUGAAGGAUGACUGCCCUACGGGUUGUAAACUUCUUUUGUUCGGGAAUAAAAGACGCUACGUGUAGCGUUCUGCAUGUACCUUACGAAUAAGCAUCGGCUAAUUCCGUG